GUGAUUAAUACCGGAUAUUGCCCCUGGGUGAAAGGUGCGUUUGCACCACUAUGAGAUGAGCCUGCGUCCUAUUAGCUUGUUGGUGAGGUAAAGGCUCACCAAGGCGACGAUAGGUAGCCGGCCUGAGAGGGUGUACGGCCACAUUGGGACUGAGAUACGGCCCAGACUCCUACGGGAGGCAGCAGCUAAGAAUAUUCCGCAAUGGGCGAAAGCCUGACGGAGCAAUCCCACGUGAGUGAUGAAGGCCUUCGGGUUGUAAAUCUCUUUCGGCAAAGAAGAAUAAGUCAGGUAGGAAAUGAUCUGACGAUGACGGUAUUUGCAUAAGAAGCACCGACUAACUACGUGCCAGCAGUCGCGGUAAUACGUAGGGUGCGAACGUUGCUCGGAAUCACUGGGCUAAAGGGUGCGCAGGCGGCCAGAUAAGUUAGUGGUGAAAACUUGAGGCUCAACCUCAAGCCUGCCAUUAAAACUAUUUGGCUAGAGUUGUAAUAAAGGCAGCAGGAAUUCCUAGUGUAGGAGUGAAAUCUGUAGAUAUUAGGAGGAACACCAAUGGCGAAGGCAAGCUGCUGGGUAACGACUGACGCUAAGGCACGAAAGCCAGGGGAGCGAAUGGGAUUAGAGACCCCAGUAGUCCUGGCCGUAAACGAUGUACACUAGUUCUAUGGUCUUUUAUUAGAUUAUGGAACAAAGCAAACACGUUAAGUGUACCGCCUGGGGAGUAUGCACGCAAGUGUGAAACUCAAAGGAAUUGACGGGGGCUCGCACAAGCGGUGGAGCAUGUGGUUCAAUUCGAUGAUAAGCGAAAAACCUUACCUAGGCUUGAACGUGUAGAGACAGCCGGUGAAAGCCGGAUUCCUUUCGGGGCUCUAUGCGAGGUGCUGCAUGGCUGUCGUCAGCUCGUGUUGUGAAAUGUUGGGUUUAGUCCCGCAACGAGCGCAACCCUUGUCCUAUGUUGCUAAGCAUCCUUCGGGAUGCAGGACUCUUAGGAUACAGCCGAGGUUAACUCGGAGGAAGGCGGGGAUGACGUCAAGUCCUCAUGGCCCUUACGUCUAGGGCUACACACGUGCUACAAUGGGGCGCACAAAGGGCAGCGAGAUCGCGAGAUUAAGCCAAUCCCAAAAAACGCCUCUCAGUUCGGAUCGCAGUCUGCAACUCGACUGCGUGAAGUUGGAAUCGCUAGUAAUCACAGAUCAGCAUGCUGUGGUGAAUACGUUCUCGAGCCUUGUACACACCGCCCGUCACACCACCCGAGUUGGGUUUACCUGAAGUCAUUGUACUAACCGCAAGGAAGGAGAUGCCGAGGGUGAAUUUAAUAAGGAGGGUGAAGUCGUAACAAGGCG
rnacentral:rRNA from 1 species